GGUUGCAUUGGAUUGCUCCAGCAAAUAGUGAGACAAAAUCUCUUCCACUGAUAUUUCUGCUAUACCGGAACUUGUGCCAAUCUGACAAAGAGAACGAAAAAGUGGAAACCGGGUUUAAAGAUGCGAAAAAGGCAGUCAAAUGUAAACGCUAGAGAAAAAAGUAAUUUGGAUGGUAUAGAAGUGCUUGAAAAACUAUUUAGUACAACCAAAGAAGAGUAAUUGGUAUAAAGAUUAAAAAAGCAGCAGCUUGGCUUUUCUUUCCUUUUCUAUUUGUAAAAAAAAAAAAACAAAAAAAAAAUUGUUUACAAGAGUAAGUUUGCUUGUAUAUUGAAUUUGAUGAUCGUAACAGGCAUUUCACCAAUAUUAAAGAAAAAGACCUCAAGAGUAAACAGUAAUUAUGAAAAAAAAAGCCAAAUGCAAUGGGGAUAGUAUGAAAUGUCACGUUCAAUUUGUUUUGUGCUAAAUUUUAUUCUGUCUAUAUUUUUGCUGAAAAAACUUCCUUAGCUUUGCAUUUUUUGUAUGAAUUUUUAUUAAACACUAAACUAGAAGUAAUUAAUUCCUUCUUUCAGCACACUAAGUUGUUGUACGCUAGCAUUCAUUUCAAGACAUCAUUAAGUCACGAAAUUACGAAGCACUUUCACAAUUUGUCUGCCGUAGGAUGAUAAUAAAUAAUUUUUUUUUAAAAAGUUCAAUGAAAGAUACUUUUCUUAAAUCGUAGAGGACUUACCACUUCCAAUCCGGAGGUGUAUCAGCAGCCCAAUUGAACUUGUCACGAAUCGUCUUACUAAACAGCUUCUCAAUAGGAACGUCUUCUCGCUUGCUGAACGAAUAAGUAAGCCUCGGGUCUAUGUAGUUAAUCUUACUUGUACCCAAAGCAGUAGUUUUAUUCUCGUCUUUAUCGAUCAUCUGAG